AGUAAAAGUCGUAACAAGGUCUCCGUUGGUGAACCAGCGGAGGGAUCAU
rnacentral:rRNA from 3 species